UGCUCCUCCGUCACACCGCGGGCGCUCGUUCUCUCCGCCUGCCUGUGCGGAGAGAAGACGGUCUUUUGGUGGCGCGGCUUCACAGAGCAGUGUUGCCGGUGCAAGCACCCAAAUCUGCACGACCAAGCGGAGAAAGGCGGAAGAUGAGCGACAUGAACAUGGAUAUGCGCAUACAUAACAUGAAGUACACCAGUGGCCUCGAGUCAGGUCCCUUCACUAGUGAGGGUGUCUUAUCAACGAACGCCGAUCCAGCACAUGACUACGAAGCCUCCGCUACUGCGCUUGGGGCGCACUCCACUUUGUUUCACGCGCUGGCUGCCGUGGAGGAAGACGACGACGGGGAGAACAGCAACGACGUGCUGCUGCGCCUUUUAAACGAAGUCAGGGCUGUUGAAAGCGACGGCGAUGAUGACGAAGUGGAGGUAAUUGAUAAGGGCUCUGACGAGAACGCCGCUGGCGCGCUCGCUCUCCGUCACGGAGAAGAGCCAGCGAAGCCGUACAUGCCGCCAUACACGGCUGUCCCCCGCGGCGGGGGGGCCAUAAUCGCCGGCGGCUUCACAGUCGAAGGCAACGCCUCGUACUCGUCUGCCGCCAGCCUGCCCCCUCCUCCGCCUCCGCCGCCACCGCCGCCGCCGGCGUACAGCACACCAAGUAUGGCUCCGCGCAGCCCCUAUGCGAAUUGUUACUCAGGCAUUCCGCAUCUCUCCAUUACACCCGGAUCGAAGCCGCCGCCGCCGUCGUUCGCAGAGGCUAUGGCGACGGCGCACGGCACCCCUGCCUCGCUGCUCGGGCGUUCGGUGCCUUCACAAGAGUGCUCUCCGAUGUUGGCCAACUACGUGCCACCCAUGCCGGCAGCGCCGCAGGAGACGGUGCUGCUGCGCAACAGCAACGGCGUCUUUUUGCUGCAACCGAUCUCCAAGCCGACGCCGCCGUACACCCCACCGGCUGGUAGCACCUCUCCCCCGGUCUCCCCGCUGCCGCGAUACUCGCUGCCGCCGGCCGCCGCAUCCACGCUGAACACCGCCGCCGCCAACGGCUUCCUUGGCAGCUCCAUGGUGCAGGCGGGCGCGCGGGCUUCCAGCAUUACGGAGCCUCUGCAUUACGCUCCAUUCGGGCCCGCCGGAGGCAGUCCUUACCUCAGCGCCACAGUUCCCUACUCGCAUGACGUUGGCUCGGUGCGUGGCACCCCGUCUUUGGGGACUGCACCCCCGCCGUACGCAUGCGGGGCCCCUCGAGGACCGGCUACGCGCUGAGGAAACCCAGAGAUUGACACAAAGAUGAAAAAGACACGGCGUGCCCGUGGCAGCAGCAGCCUCCACCGCUGAAGCGCGUGGCAGCGGUGCCGGUUAAGGUGUGCGUUGAUGUGUGGGCAUGUUAAGUGUGGUGGUGCCCAUGCACCCGCGCAUCCACGCACGCGUUCUCCACAGCACGUGUGGGUUGCCUGUCGUUCCUUUUUCUUUUUCGACUUCGUUUUACUAUGUUUGCGCUGUGCUGAGGCGGUGCCAGUCUUCCUGAUUCCCCUCCUCAGCAGUCCCCAGCCCUCCCCCAGCUCUCCUCUUCUCGUCUCCUCCUCUAUCUCCCUGUUCCUCUAUGGUUUUCGCCUUUUUAUAUUUCGCUUCUACCUUGGCCGUCUCUCCGCCGCGUCUGCUCUGCACAUAUAUUUGUGUUUGUAUUUAUUUCUAUAUUAUUUUUAUGUGGCGGCUGUGUGGACACUCUUGCUCUACGUCCCCAUUCCUGUCUAUGCGUUUUUCUGUUGGCACAUGUGUGUGUGUGUGUGCUCUCUCUCUCUCGUCUCCCUUACCUUCCGUUGAGGAAGGUGCUGUACACACACACACACACACACGAGCUUGCCGACGGGAUGCACGCUCUCGAUGGCGUGAACGAAUAGUAGCAACCGGAAAAGAAUGGAAGACAACCUCGGAAGGGAAGCAACAACCGACACAAAAGGGUGCAGCAUUACACCCACGAGGCCUCCACGAGGUGCACACAUACAUACAGACACACAGACGUGUCGGCAGCUCGAGGUUGCAUCAGUGGGCUGCUGCUUUUUCAUUUCUCCUUUUUCCUCCGCGUUGUUUCUCCUCUUUUCGUGUAGUUAUCUCUCCAUCUUUUCUUUCCUUUUUGUUGUUCUUCGUAGUUAUGUCUGCUCCGCUUCUCCUCGUCUUUUCUGUGUGCCUCUCAGUCGCCACCGGAACACCACACGUGAGCAUGUAUAUAUGACAGUAUGUGCGUCUGUUCUGAUCCCCUCCUUGUCUCUUGCGUAGGUUGGUAUGCCCGUGUUGCUGGUUUUAGUGCCUCGAUGCCGUCUUCUACGUUCUGUUUCUUCUCUGCUGUCUGGAUCCUCACACAUAUGUGCGCGCAUGACUCUGUGUCGAUGUGCUCGUGUGUGUGUGUGUAUGUGUGUGCGCGCGCUUGAUACUGGGUGAUGACCGACCGAGGAAGUUCGGAGGUGAACGCAACAGUAGCAACCAAAAAGGGUGAAGAUAGAAGACUAGAAGACGCUUCCGUGUGUGACACUCCCCACCUUGUGCUCUGUGUGUGCGUUGGCGCCGGCCACUCUCUCUGUAUUUGUUGUCGAGCGUCACGCUCUCGAGCAGCCGCGGCUUAGAGGGGAAUUACAAGGGAAAAGCGAAAACAAAAAGCUAACAGAAAGACGCCACAUGAGGGAAUCUCGCUUGAGAGCACCGCGCUACUUGGUGGUGUGUUGUCGCGUGCGACGUCAUCUUUUCUUUCGUGGUUGCCAAUCUUUAUGUCUGUGCAGGCAGGCGCCAGGCAGCUGAUGCUCAGCCCUUCUCGUCGGGAAUCGCAUCUAUCCUCUGAGCAUCAGGCACACGUUCUUCCGUCGAACCGUAUUGCGGUUUUCCCGAAUCGUCACGCGCGCUUCGUGCUCGCCUUGCUCCCCUUCUCAGAGGCGUUUUCUCUUGCGAUUGGGGGUGAUGGAAAGGAGGCGCACGACCUGUGCGAAUUGGUGCGUGUGCGCGUUGUGCUUGUCUGGGUAGGCGUAUGUGCGCGUGCCUCCGCACGGUGCGAGACGCCGGCAGACGCUGUUGUUGUCCGAUCCCCAGAGAACGCGGAAGCACGGGGAUAGAGGGCGGUCUCACUGGCGCGAGCGCGCCUGCCUGCCUCUUCCUCUUCUACCUUUGUUGGUGUUGGCCUUUCGCUGCGGAUUUGCACGCCCCUCUCAACGUCUUUUUUGUUAUCUUCUUCCGGGGCGUUUCUUUCACUGUUCAGUGUCUGACGCUGCCGUCAUCUCUUCCGCGGUUAUGUUUCACGGACUCGCUUCCUGUUCUUUCCUCUUGCAUAUGUCUUCCACCCUGUGAUGAGCGGAAAUACGAGUCGGUGAAUCUGUGUGCGUGUGUGUGUGUCUACCUCUGGUAUGUGUGAGCGUGUGUUUGUGCGUGUGGGCCCACGUUGAUCGAGGCGGGGGUGUGCGGACAUCUUCGCGUCCUUGUUGUCGCUCUUGCUUCGAUCACAAGGAGAUGGUCGUCUGUGUGUGUGUACGUAAAAGUGGGUACGAUGCAGCUGCAUUUCGUUUCGUUAUGUUACUUUUCUUUUUUCCUUUCCGACUUCUGUUUUUCUUUGUUUUCGGCUGUUUUUGUUUUUCAUUCCCCACCCGAUCGGCUCUCCGUCGCUUCCUCCUCCUUUUGUCCGCGUGUGUGGUAGGCCGCUUAAUUAUGCAUAACUCGCUUUUCCAUCGCUGUUUCGAGUCUUCUUUUCUCUCCUCGCUUUCUCUCAUGAGCACCCCUUCG
rnacentral:misc_RNA from 1 species